rnacentral:rRNA from 1 species
GAGUGAAGCGGCAAAAGCUCAAAUUUGAAAUCUGGCGCCUUCGGUGUCCGAGUUGUAAUUUGAAGAAGGUAACUUUGGAGUUGGCUCUUGUCUAUGUUCCUUGGAACAGGACGUCACAGAGGGUGAGAAUCCCGUGCGAUGAGAUGCCCAAUUCUAUGUAAAGUGCUUUCGAAGAGUCGAGUUGUUUGGGAAUGCAGCUCUAAGUGGGUGGUAAAUUCCAUCUAAAGCUAAAUAUUGGCGAGAGACCGAUAGCGAACAAGUACAGUGAUGGAAAGAUGAAAAGAACUUUGAAAAGAGAGUGAAAAAGUACGUGAAAUUGUUGAAAGGGAAGGGCUUGAGAUCAGACUUGGUAUUUUGCGAUCCUUUCCUUCUUGGUUGGGUUCUCCGCAGCUUACUGGGCCAGCAUCGGUUUGGAUGGUAGGAUAAUGAUUAAGGAAUGUGGCUCUACUUCGGUGGAGUGUUAUAGCCUUGGUUGAUACUGCCUGUCUAGACCGAGGACUGCGUCUUUGACUAGGAUGCUGGCAUAAUGAUCUUAAGCCACCCGUCUUGAAACACGGACCAAGGAGUCUAACGUCUAUGCGAGUGUUUGGGUGUAAAACCCGUA